GAGGUACUGGGGAUUAAACCCGGGACCUUGACUCCAGGACCUCGAUAUGCAAAGCAGAUGCUCAACCACUGAGCUACAUCCACUCCUUCAUUGGAGUUUUAAUGAAAUCACUAAUCAAGGCCUAUGGUAGAGAUUUGAAAUUCUCAGGUGACUUUUGUCCCCAAGCUCUGGGAAAAAACAUUAUCAAGGACAAAAAUCAAACAACACUUCCCAAUUAGCUAACCCAAUCACUAUUGUAACAAGCUGAGUUGAGAGGCCUCUGUUCAACCCACGUUUGUUUUUGUUCUGGGUUUGGUAUAUGACUUUAGUUUCUCUGUUUGUCUUCUCUCAAACUCUGAAAGCAUUAAGAAGUGCAGUUUAAAGUCUCUUUCUCUCAACACCAUUUAAGCCAUUAAAAAAAAUACAAUGUUUUUCUUUAUGUUAUGCUCAGACAUCAUAUUCAAAAAGUUUCUAGAAAUAUUAAAUUAGAGGAAAUCUCGUACUCAUUAACUUUAAAAGCUCUACAAGAUCAGUUCGAUUCCAGAGAUUUCUAGUGAAAUAGAAUCUUUUGUAUUGUGUCAGGUUAAAUAAGAAAUCCAUUUUUGUAGCACCCAUACUUUAUUGAAAUGUCUUUUAUAGAACUAUUUUAAGUCUUUUUCAAGUUUAUUUUGUUUGUAGAAAAUAACAUUUUUAUGGAGGAAAAGGUGAGGGAAGUGGGAUUAAUUUUCUUGAAGUAUAAUCAUCUUUCAUUAAAUUGAAGCUUUAAAUGUUAUCGCAAAGGCUACAUUAAUUCUUUUCAUUAAUCUUGAAUUAGAAGAUUGAAUGUAAGACAUACAGAAGUCCCUGUAUCCCCUUGUGUCAUAUUUUAUAUUACAUCUUCAUGUAAGUACAUACUUGCAGUGAUAUAAUAUGUAAGUUAUAUUUGGUAGCUGUGCCUUCCUUUGCCUUCAGAGCACUUAUUGUUAGACUUUGGUUCCCUAG
rnacentral:lncRNA from 1 species